rnacentral:rRNA from 1 species
UACGUAGGGUGCGAGCGUUGUCCGGAAUCACUGGGCGUAAAGGGUGCGUAGGCGGGUCUUUAAGUCAAGGGUGAAAUCCUGGAGCUCAACUCCAGAACUGCCUUUGAUACUGAGGAUCUUGAGUUCGGGAGAGGUGAGUGGAACUGCGAGUGUAGAGGUGAAAUUCGUAGAUAUUCGCAAGAACACCAGUGGCGAAGGCGGCUCACUGGCCCGAUACUGACGCUGAGGCACGAAAGCGUGGGGAGCAAACAGG